UAUUUCAGUCUAGCUCCUCUAUUUCUUUUCUUUCUUUAAAACGUCCCCCUUAUCUCUUAUGUUUAACAAGAUAUACCCACUUGAUCUGUGAUUUCAAUUGGAGAUGUGGAAUUACUUUAGAAAUCAUACAGUUUUGGGUGGAUUAGUAAUACAAAUUAUAGGUUUGGGAAGUUUAACACUGACUUUAGUAGUUAAAAGGGAAAUGUCAUCCCCAAUAUAUUUGAGUUUCUGAAUUGGCCAAGAAAAGUAUAUGCGUAUUAGCUAAGAAAUUAUCUCUACUCUACAUAUGCAGAGCAUUUCUUCACUACACUGCCGUUACUUGAUUUAACCCAAACUUGUAACUUUUAACCAUGAUUCUAAUAGUUUUUAGUAAUGUUCAACAAAUCCUUAGGCGUUUUGUAUAGGUUUAGCCACGUAAACCAGUUUUUUUUUUUUGAACCUUAGUUUUUAAAAUCAUGCACGAUGUUAUCAAAAGCAAGAUGUUUACUCCAAGGAAAUUGAUAUAAUUCAUUGAAUGUUAAGAAGUACUAUUUGUGAUUUCUUCCUUAAAACAAUACUGUCGCAAACAUUUUCGCAAUGCGUUGUACACUAUCGUGAAUGCAUGUUAACUGUUAAGUCUUUCAAAUUUCUUCCGUAUGAUAUCAUUUUCUUUUGUUAACUUCUUUGUGGAUUUCAUUUACUAAUUAAUGUGAUUGUCAUUUACAUAAUCGACAUGGUUCAGAUUUUUUAGUGCGGUGUAAAGUGUGAGAAUAUCUUUCGUGGUUUGUAUUAAAGUAAAGUUCAAACAUUCUUUCUUUUUUUUUUUUGUUCAAAGUUCAAACAUUCUUUCAAAAUCAAAAGUUUGAAGGGGCAAAAGAAUGUUAAAGUGGUUGAUCUAUGUAACCAAAUUUUCUUUUUUUAUAUAUAUAAACAAAACUAAAGAUCAGUUAACCUGUGUCUUUUGUUAAGCAAAAAAAAAAACUAAAGAAAAAAAAUUAAUCUUCGUAUUAUUUAUUAUUUCUUGAUGCAUUUUGUUCACUACUUUAUUAAUAUUCUCCAAAAUGUUUUGCUUGAAAGGGAAAAAGAUCACAAAAGAACAAAGAAUGGUUGUUGAGCUUAAUUACAACUUUCUUAUGUAAGAUCAUUUGUCUUGAUUCAUGUAGCAGAGUCACAUGCUGUUCUCAAUAUGUUUUUCCACAUAUUAUCGGCAAAUCUACUAGAGGCGUAUAUCUAUCUACUUAACGCAUUCUUAUAUACAUUCGUAGUCAUAAAUACUACUAUUGUUUUUGUUUGCAGUAUGGAAUAUAAUGUUGAGCAUGAAAUGUAAAGGCGCCAAGAUUGAGCCUAAUUUCAAUGAAACUACAAAGUUAAUUAAUAGACAUCAGUCAUGACACUCAAAAUACAAGUUAUUAAAUAAGUAAAUAUUUGUGCUGUAUAUACUAAAGAUUACAACGAAUAUCAUAUGGCCUAAAUUGAUUUGUUAGGCAAGGCCAAUCAAAUGGAAGCAAGGCCAAUCAAAUGCAGUUUUCACGAUCGGAUAUCUUACCGAUUUGUUUGCUAGGCUCAAUCAAGCCUGAGACCCAUAUUUUUGUAGCCCAAAGCAGAAAAAUCUCCCUUGCAUGAUGAAUGAUUUUAACCAUGUUCCUCAGAGAAAAUGUGAAUUCAAAAUCACUAUACUACAAGAACAUAAUACAAAUUUUGAUGUCUUUAAAAUUUUAUUAUGUUUUUGAUACUUAAAACUCUUCUUUCUUUGGUGUUAGUCCAUAACUCGCAUUGAGCUCAAUUAAACAAGGCCAAUAAUUCAGAUCAUUGACGACCAAAUAACAAAAAGGAAAUGUAGUUACAAAAUGUAUAAUUAUAUUCUUGCGCAACUUAAGUUAUAAUGAUAUAAAUCAACAACAAUCAGGCAUUAGUUGGAUUGAUUUAAUUCGAAAUUAAUGAUUUAUCGAAUGGGUGCAUGUGGGACUUCAAUGCAACAGCUCAAUUGUUAAAUUUUUACACAAAAUAGUUAAACUUAAACUUCAUUGUUCUUAUUUCUGUAUUUUCUUUCUCCUUCAAAGAAAAAACUCAGAACCAAAACAAUUUUGCCAGCUCUGCGUUUCCGUUAUGAUGAUAGACCUAAUUUCACAUAUAUUAGUUAACUUGUCUGGAUCUAUUCACUUAUUAAAAAAAAAAAUCCAUUUCACAUGUUGUUACAAAGUACUAUAUUAAUCUGUUCAGUUUAAAGAAAGGAAAUGUGGUUCCCGCAGAUAUAAAAGCUCGCUCCACCAACCGAAUAAAAUAAUUGAAGAGAGAGACUCACUCCGCAUGCAGGUUUCUAUUUUCGAAUGUUCCAAGAUCCAUUAAAAAUGCAUGUAUCUGUUUAUAGCCCGUGUAUAAUAAUUUGUAAACGUCAUAGUUUUCCAAAAUCGGUCUUGUUUUGUCGUUGAAGUAGACACGCGCGGGCUGGUGUAAAUAUUCGCAUGGGUUUCUUUUUUCUAAUCACCUCAGAAAAAACUGAAACUCACCAAAAUGUUAAUUAUCAUAAAGAUCGUUGAUGCAACUAUGCAAGUAUAAUUUUUGUUUUUUGAGUGUGAGACUGGAGACCCAAAUAUUCUCAAGGGGAUUCAUGUAUCGACGACUAGUCCAAUUUCAGAUUUCUGAAAUAAAGCUUAAAACAUGGUUUUAUUCCGUUUGCCAAACAAAUCAAAUGACAAUUAAAUUUCUGGAAGGAUUUGAAUCUAAAACUGAUGGAUUUACGUUUUACUCCAAGUUCUAUUUUUCCCAUCAAACUACCAUUGCUGAGUUGAUGCAGUAAAAUUUAUACGUAAGAAAAUUUAUAUGUACUUUCCAUCUUUUUCUUAUUCCGUAAAUGUGUUCUUGUCAUUAUGUUUUCAUAUAUUCUCUUUGUCAAAAUGUUUUUAUGCAUUGAAAAUUGAAAUACUACUACUAAUACUUUAUACUGGAAAACAACAUAUACCCAUAACUUUUUGCCCUAAAUGGCUGGAAACUGCCCAACCUAUGCGACAAAUCUUGAUUCUUAAUCCGGAAAGAAAAGAGAUACAGAGAAUGUGAGAGCUAGGCACAGACUACCACUGAUUUAUAAACCAGUGAGAGAGUGAGAGAGAGAAGCUGAAUCAACUCAAUAAAUCAAAGUUCUUUUCUGAGAUUUUCGGCUCUUGGAAUCAAACAAACAAAAAAAGAUUCCUAACUACAGUAAGAAAACAAGAAGAUCUUUCUCGUGUAAGAGUAGUUCUUAUUAAGAACUUCUUAAUCUCCUUCAAGGUCUACACUAAGAGAGAGUUUCCUGUUUAGAUUACCAUGAAGAUCACGCUGAUUAUUCUACGGGUCGCCCAUCUUCUUACGCUCAUCGCAUUUGCUCAUUCAGACUACUACAUUGAGAGCUCAGAUGGCGCGCGGUCUUGUUAAAUGCGUCGACAGAAAGGAGCAACCAGCAUUUGAUAAUAGUUUAUUAAGAAAUCACAAGUUUCAGGAAUCCCCGUCAAAAAUUCCUACAACAACGACCAAAUCAAAUACAAACAGCAAAUGGCGAACGACAGAAGCGCAUGUUAGUAUUGCAAAAUGCCCCAGAGGGACCGUACCCAUGCGACAGGACGACGCUAGUGAAUAUCCUGGCAACAACACAUCUACACAGACUACACAUGAGUAUGCAGAGAAAUCUACGGAUGUCUCAUCAAAAUUAUAUGGAGCUAAAGCUACGAUAAACAUGGGAUCCAAAAGUAGAAAACAAAGAAAUUGAGCUAAGUAUCUCACAAAUCUGGAUCAGCUCAGGAGGAUAUGAGACGAACAAUCUUAACACAAUCGAAGUUGGGUGGCAGGUGUAUCCGCAGUUGUAUACCGACAACAAGCCAAGACUAUUUAUUUAUUGGACGGUACGUAUGAAUCAUGAUCUAUUUUAUCAGCAAUUUAUAUUAUUUAUGCUACAUUACCAAACAUACGUUAUUAUAUAUUAUACUCUUAAUCAUCAUCAAUCUGAAAAUAAUCUAGACUCUAGAGUAACAAUAUACCUUACGUUAAAUGGAGUAAAACUUAUAGAAAAAGAGAUUAAUAUUAUUAAUCUAUAAGUGUCAGUUACUAGAAACUAAUUACUGUAUUUUUUACAUUUUAAAGUGUAUCGGAAUUUUUAUUUGAAAUAAAAAUAAAUUAAACAGAAAUAAAUUAUAUGAAAAGAUAAUAAAAUUUCGAAACAUGAACAAUAAACUCAAGUUGAUUCAUAAUCUAUAAUACCGUUCACAAUAAAGUCAAUCAAUUAAAGCAAAAAAUAUCAAAAUAAUAUAUACACUUUUUUGGUUUGUUGAUGUUACCUUACUCUCUCAUGGCGACUUUUAUAUAGUUAGUUGAAUUCUUAAAGCACAAGCUUUUAUCUAUAAGCUUACUGGUUCAUAUUGCGUUUCGGUAACACAUUUAUGUUGAAACAAGAAAGGAUAGAAAAGGGAAUAAAGUUUUGAAAUUCUGGUGAACCUUCACUCAAAUAUUACAAUAACAUGGUUUAUGAUUUUUUCAUGUUAAUAACAUUAAUGUAUUCAUUUUAUAGAGUGACGCAUACCAAACAACAGGAUGCUAUAACCUCAGGUGUCCCGGUUUCGUACAAACGAGUAGAAGUGUUGUACUGGGAGGUGCCAUUAGUCCUGUUUCUAUCUUUGGAAGUAAACAAUAUGAGAUUACCGUCCACGUUUGGAAGGAUCAAAAACAGGGAAACUGGUGGUUGAGUUUAGGAGCAGAUAAUUUGAUAAUAGGAUAUUGGCCAUCGGAGCUUUUCACGAAUCUAGAUUACGCAAAUGAAGUGCAUUGGGGCGGUGAAGUAAUAGACUCUCACAGUUUUGGUAGACACACGAAGACCCAAAUGGGCUCCGGUCGAUUCCCUUUCGAAGGUUUCGGAAAAGCUAGCUAUUUCCGGAAUCUGGAGAUUGUGGAUAGUAACAAUUUCCAGCCGAUCCAAAGAUUAAAGACAAAUGCAGAAAAAGAAUAUUAUGAUAUCAAGAAUUUGGAUAUAGAUGAAGAAUGGGGGACCCAUUUUUUCUAUGGAGGACCAGGUUUCAGUACUCAUACACAUUCUGGAGUCGUACCUCUGACAAGAAGGUUGAUUUUUAUUUGUUUUAGUUUGAGUUUCUUUAUUAUUAUUUAGUUUAUUUUAAAAUUGUAGAUUCGUCUUGUAAUAAUUUAAAAUUUUAAUUGAAUAAGUCAUUGUAAAAAACAGUACUAUUUAUCGUUUCUCUUUUAAUAUUUUUAUUUAUUCAGUAAAUUUGUUUAAAACUUUGUUCGGUUUAGUUGUGAAAACUCUGUCAAUAAAUUACACCAAAAAAAAAAAAAAAACUCUGUCAAUAAAGUUAAGUUUCCCCCUAAAUAAUGGGCUUAUGAUUCUGUGAUCGAGUAGCAGUUUGGCCACUGAUAAACAAAAUAACCAUUUCCAAUUUCUCUGUUAAAUGCAUUUGGGAAUCUUGUGAGUUAUGAGAAUCAGUAGGUAUGUGUUCUUACAGAAACAAUAGUUUUACUAUUAACUUUUCCUUUAGACCGUAUAAACCAGCCUGGAUAACAACUCAAAACAAAGAGAAGGGAAAAACUUGUUCUGCAUGAGAAUAACUAUUACAAGCAACAAUGUUUGUACAUAUAGUAAGUACAAAUUUUCAUCUUAAAUAACAAAUGAUCUAUUAAAUUUACAAGAUAAAAAUAAAAAUAAGAAUGAUCUAUCGACUAUCACCCAUUCUUAUAAGUUAUAACCCUACAAGACAAAAGUUACUGACGCAAAAGAGAUAACAUCUUUGUCAACGGGAUUUUAGUUAGUUAAAGAGAGCACUGAGGGCUGGGCAUAUUAUCCUAAUUUGAUUCUAUCCGUUAGUUAUUCGUUCUGAUUCUAUCAGAAAAAAAGUUAGAUAUGUUUGUAAGGGUUCAAAUCAAAGCAAAUCGCAAAAUGUGGUAUCCUCAGAAAAUGAAACAAAUCACAAUUUUUUUUAGAAAGCUGGAGAUCUGAUCUGUAUAUUUAUAGGCAUGUAAUAAAACUGUAUAUACAAACCAUUAUAUCUAUACAUAUUUUAUGAUAUAAUUUGGUUAACUUUUUAUUUGAAGUUGUUUUUUCAAAUUUUUGUUUCAGCUUAUUUCAUAUCCAAUUUAAUUUUUAUGUUGAGUCGAAUGUUAACAUAUGAGUUUUCAUAUUAGGUUUGUUAAUAUUGAUUUUUUUGCUUUACAAUUUCUAUCAAAGAUGUUAGUUUGUUAGUAUGAUAUUAUUAUUCUUAUUUAAAUUGAUAUUAUGAAGAUUUGCUUAUUUAAUUUUAAUGUUAUAUAUUAUUUUAUUAUUUUUAAUAUAAUGGAUGGAAUAUUGAAAAUAAAUUCAGAUAUUGGGACUUCCGCAUAUCCGGACAUCCUGAUUUCCGAAUAUCUGAAAUUUUUUGGAUCGAAACGAUUCACAUAUAAAUAUUUGUUUGUGAUUGAGCGGAUUACGGAUAAUCCAAAAAUUUUUAGAUAUACGCUCAGUGCCCAUGCUUAACUGACGUGGCGUGGUAUUCUCUUCAAUUAGCU